AUGGAGAGUUUGAUCCUGGCUCAGAACUAACGCUGGCGGCGCGUCUUAAACAUGCAAGUGGAACGGUAAGGCUCGAGCUUGCUCGAGUACACGAGUCGCAAACGGGUGAGUAACACGUGGGUCAUUUACCCUAGAGUGGGGGAUAGCCCGGAGAAAUCCGGAUUAAUACCGCAUACGCCGGAAACGGUAAAGGGGGCUUCGGCUCUCGCUUUAGGAUAAGCCCGCGCACCAUUAGCUUGUUGGUGGGGUAAAAGCCUACCAAGGCAACGAUGGUUAGCCGGCCUGAGAGGGUGAUCGGCCACAUUGGGACUGAGACACGGCCCAAACUCCUACGGGAGGCAGCAGUUAAGAAUCUUGGACAAUGGGAGCAAUCCUGAUCCAGCGACGCCGCGUGAGCGAUGAAGGCCUUAGGGUUGUAAAGCUCAAUAAGUAGGGAAGAAUAAGGUAGUGUUAAUACCACUAUCGAUGACGGUACCUACCUAAAGCACCGGCUAAAUACGUGCCAGCAGCCGCGGUAAUACGUAUGGUGCGAGCGUUGUUCGGAAUCAUUGGGCGUAAAGGGCGUGUAGGCGGGAAGCUAAGCGGGAAGUGAAAUUUUUGAGCUCAACUCAGAGACUGCUUUCCGAACUGGUUUUCUAGAGUGCAGGAGGGGCAAGGGGAAUUGGCAGUGUAGCGGUGAAAUGCGUAGAUAUUGCCAGGAACACCGGUGGCGAAGGCGCCUUGCUGGCCUGAUACUGACGCUGAUGCGCGAAAGCGUGGGGAGCGAACGGGAUUAGAUACCCCGGUAGUCCA
rnacentral:rRNA from 1 species